UUGAUUACGUCCCUGCCCUUUGUACACACCGCCCGUCGCUGCCCGGGACUGAGCCAUUUCGAGAAACUUGGGGACCGCUGGCUGGGGGACUUUCGGGCCUCCUCGUCGAUGGAAACCAAUUUAAUCGCAGUGGCUUGAACCGGGCAAAAGUCGUAACAAGGUAGCUGUAGGUGAACCUGCUGCUGGAUCAUU
rnacentral:rRNA from 1 species